UACGUAGGGUGCGAGCGUUAUCCGGAUUCACUGGGUUUAAAGGGUGCGUAGGUGGGUUGGUAAGUCAGUGGUGAAAUCCCCGAGCUUAACUUGGGAACUGCCAUUGAUACUAUCAGUCUUGAAUACCGUGGAGGUCAGCGGAAUAUGUCAUGUAGCGGUGAAAUGCUUAGAUAUGACAUAGAACACCAAUUGCGAAGGCAGCUCACUACACGAAUAUUGACACUGAGGCACGAAAGCGUGGGGAUCAAACAGG
rnacentral:rRNA from 1 species